GUUUUAUUACACAACUAUUACAUACUCAUUCAAUAAAAAAUUUUCAUUGCAGAUAAUUGGAAGAAACAAAAGCAAGCCGUGGUGAAGAAGGAACGUUUUCUAAAGCCUCUUUUAUACCCAGGAUGGUUGAGAAGUCAGAGGCCUGCAAUGCUAAGAAGAGAGGGUCUACAAUGAAUAUCACAGAGCAACAGAGAAAAUGUGGAUCACUCCAACUCUAGCACAAGGUCGGGGAGGAAAAAAAUCAGAGAGUUUGGAAUUUCUAAGUGCUCGUGUUUGAGAAAUGGGGAGCAUCACAAACUAACAGCAGAGG
rnacentral:lncRNA from 1 species